rnacentral:rRNA from 1 species
GACGAACGCUGGCGGCGUGCUUAACACAUGCAAGUCGAACGGAAAGGCCUGCUUUCCCUUGUGGAUUGCGGGUACUCGAGUGGCGAACGGGUGAGUAACACGUGAGUGAUCUGCCCCCAACUUGGGUAUAAGCCUGGGAAACUGGGUCUAAUUCCCGAUAGGACUGCAGGGUGGUGCCUGUGGUGGAAAACGAUUUUCUAGUGGUUGGGGAUGAGCUCGCGGCCUAUCAGCUUGUUGGUGGGGUAAUGGCCUACCAAGGCGGCGACGGGUAGCCGGCCUGAGAGGGUGGACGGCCAGAUUGGGACUGAGAGACGGCCCAGACGCCAACGGGAGGCAGCAGUGGGGAAUAAUGCACAAUGGGCGGAAGCCUGAUGCAGCGACGGCGCGUGGGGGAUGACGGCCUUCGGGUUGUAAACUCCUUUCGACCGCGAGGAAGCCACCUGGUUGGAAGGGUGGUGACGGUAGUGGUAGAAGAAGCACCGGCUAACUACGUG